UACGAAGGGGGCUAGCGUUGCUCGGAAUUACUGGGCGUAAAGGGAGCGUAGGCGGAUAGUUUAGUCAGAGGUGAAAGCCCAGGGCUCAACCUUGGAAUUGCCUUUGAUACUGGCUAUCUGAGUAUGGAAGAGGUAUGUGGAACUCCGAGUGUAGAGGUGAAAUUCGUAGAUAUUCGGAAGAACACCAGUGGCGAAGGCGACAUACUGGUCCAUUACUGACGCUGAGGCUCGAAAGCGUGGGGAGCAAACAGG
rnacentral:rRNA from 1 species